GUGAUGCCGGCACGCAUCUCUUACGAGUACUUCGUGCGGCAAGUAAUAAUACUCCGGCGGGUAUUCGUGUUUCUCGUUGUAAAUUCGGUAGAUCGCGUUAUAUUUGAUUGAAUUUAGUCUUAAUUGUCAUGUUUAGUCAUUCGCUAAAUAUUUUUCGCGUGUGUAAUCUUCGGAAGUCAAUAUUUUGUGUGUUUAUUAUAUUUCCGCGGGCAAUCCGUUGCCGUCGGAUGCCGGCCGGCCUUAUUGUGUGAUUGUAAAUAAUUGGUAUUGCAGUUAAUUUUGGACUUGUGCGAACCAUUUUUGUCUCCUGCUCAACUCGUCGGCUCAAUGUGCUACCUGUAUCUACUCACAUUUGAUUUGCGGUGUUCGAUACACUGGUACUGCGUCUAUUGCAAUUCGCGUACAAAGGUCACGUGCCAUCCACACGCCGACUUGACGCAUCUAUUUGCUUUAC